rnacentral:rRNA from 1 species
UACAGAGGGUGCUAGCGUUGUUCGGAAUUAUUGGGCGUAAAGCGCUUGUAGGCGGCUUGUUAAGUUCCGUGUGAAAUCCCCAGGCUUAACCUGGGAAGUGCGCGGAAAACUGGCGAGCUUGAAUGCCGGAGAGGGUCGCGGAAUUCCCGGUGUAGGAGGUGAAAUUCGUAGAUAUCGGGAGGAACACCAGUGGCGAAGGCGGCGACCUGGACGGACAUUGACGGCUGAGACGC